CCUACGGGAGGCAGCAGUAGGGAAUCUUCCACAAUGGGCGAAAGCCUGAUGGAGCAACGCCGCGUUGGUGAAGAAGGUCUUCGGAUCGUAAAACCCUGUUGUUAGAGAAGAAAGUGCGUGAGAGUAACGGUUCACGUUUCGACGGUAUAUAACCAGAAAGCAACGGCUAACUACGUACCAGCAGCCUCGGUAAUACGUAGGUGGCAAGCGUUAUCCGGAUUUAUUGGGCGUAAAGGGAACGCAGGCGGUCUUUUAAGUCUGAUGGGAAAGCCUUCGGCUUAACCGGAGUAGUGCAUUGGAAACUGGGAGACUUGAGUGCAGAAGAGGAGAGUGGAACUCGAUGUGUAGCGGUGAAAUGCGUAGAUAUAUGGAAGAACACCAGUGGCGAAAGCGGCUCUCUGGUCUGUAACUGACGCUGAGGUUCGAAAGCGUGGGUAGCAAACAGGAUUAGAUACCCCAGUAGUC
rnacentral:rRNA from 1 species